GGUUUUCUAGGUUUAUAACUGCAAUUUGAAUUGCAAAGCAAUAAAGCUUGUGUGAUGGCAAUAAUUAACUCUUAUCAGAAAAAAAGUUACAAAAUUUAAUAUAAGACAACUUUGUUGAUAAGCUCGCAACAUUGUUUUCAGACAAUAAAUAAAUCUAAAUUUUAUUUGGAAAAGAAGUAGAAUGCAACAUUCAAAAAGUGACUUUUAGAUCAAGUCUGUAUAUCUGUCGAAAACUCAAUUCAAAAUUUAAAGCAAUGCUAUAGCCGAGCCUAUAUCUCAAUCUCUCUGAAUAUAUAUCUGUCAAAGAUCGAUCUACAAAUUUGGACAUUUUCUUUAUUUCUUUUUGUUAAGGCUUUACCUAAA